UGGGGAAUAUUGGACAAUGGGCGCAAGCCUGAUCCAGCAAUACCGCGUGUGUGAAGAAGGCCUUAGGGUUGUAAAGCACUUUUAUGUGGGAAGAGGGUGUGUGUGUUAAUAGCACAUGCAAUUGACGGUACCACAAGAAUAAGCACCGGCUAACUCCGUGCCAGCAGCCGCGGUAAUACGGAGGGUGCGAGCGUUAAUCGGAGUUACUGGGCGUAAAGGGUACGUAGGCGGCUUAAUAAGUCAGAUGUGAAAUCCCCGGGCUUAACCUGGGAACUGCAUUUGAAACUGUUUAGCUAGAGUGAGUGAGAGGUUAGUGGAAUUCAAGGCGUAGCGGUGAAAUGCGUAGAGGUCUUGAGGAACAUCAGUGGCGAAGGCGACUAACUGGCACUACACUGACGCUGAGGUACGAAAGCGUGGGGAGCGAACAGGAUUAGAUACCCUGGUAGUCCACGCCCUAAACGAUGAGGACUGGCUGUUGGCGCUAUAGACGCGUCGGUAGCGAAGCUAACGCGUUAAGUUCUCCGCCUGGGGAGUACGACCGCAAGGUUGAAACUCAAAGGAAUUGACGGG
rnacentral:rRNA from 1 species